AAAUAUGAAACCUAAUCGAAGUUUUCCAAAUAGUUUAUGCAAAUUUCCGUGCCAAAGAAUGGAGGAGUGACUUUAUAGGAAGUUUGUUUUUGUGUUCAGCAGAAAUGAAAAGAAAAAAGUGACCAUAUAUGUUGAAGGGGAAUACCUUGUACGUUCUGACAUCUGUGAGCGUCGCCUAAAAAAGACGUCUUUUUCUCUCCUUCUUACAUCGAGUCUGCUUCUUUCCAUAAAACUUCCAUCUCUCUUCUCUUUAGCAUCGCCGUUCUACCCUUCCAUAUCCAUCGUUGCCCCAACGUUCCAUCAGCGCUUCACCUCCACCCUCCUUUAGGCGGUCCAUCGGUUGCUGGUUCGCCGUCCUCCCGUGUAACACCACAUUUAGGCAUCCUCUUCUCGGUCUUCUCGGUUUUCGGAAAUUACCUGCACAAGACCUUUGAAAUUACUUGAUGAAUCUGGAUUUUGAUGUAUCGAUUCCAACGAAUACUGCUUAAUUUUGAUCUAGUUGAGAUUUCAGCAUUAGGGAAGUGAAUGUCUCUAUUCUCGUUCACGAAGGUGAAACCCCCAAAACUGAAUUAGACCCUCCUUUUUUCCCGAUAGAUGUAUGUAAUUUUGUAAUUUGUUGCAAAUCAGAAGAUAUGAAUGUAACAUCCCUAUACAAUUGUAGAAGAAAAAUUGUAUCAGUAAACAAAAGGCAUCUCCUAUGGUAACCAAAAUCGAAAUUGCAUCGUAGUUUAUUCUUAUUACAUCAUUUUACUCCCAAUCUUCUACAUUUCAGCUUCCUUUUCCAUUGAUGGAUUAUUAUUUUUUUUAAUUUUUGAGUUUAAAAUGUUUUGAAUUCUGAUCAGGUUUGUUCUCUCAUUGAACCCUUGUGGGUGAUGAAUGUGGUUCCUGUUAAUGGUUAUCAACCGAGUUAUCAGCCCAUAAAGUGUUUUGAAGUCUGAUCAUGUUUGCAACUGUUUUUAGAGUUUAUGUUCAAAGUUGAAA
rnacentral:lncRNA from 1 species